rnacentral:rRNA from 1 species
AUUGAACGCUGGCGGCAUGCCUUACACAUGCAAGUCGAACGGUAACAGGUCUUCGGAUGCUGACGAGUGGCGGACGGGUGAGUAAUACAUCGGAACGUGCCCGAUCGUGGGGGAUAACGGAGCGAAAGCUUUGCUAAUACCGCAUACGAUCUACGGAUGAAAGCAGGGGACCGCAAGGCCUUGCGCGGACGGAGCGGCCG